CUGACCCAUACUAUGAAGAAGAAUUAUUUAGCCUGGUGGAAAUACGCAUCACCCUGACAGACCUGUUCUGUGACUCCAGAGGAAAUAGUUAUCUUGGUCUACCUGCCCAUGGAGGUAUCACAUUUAUAUUUUGCCCCUCAUGACUGUUUUGAACAGAUGAAAAUGGAGACAACCCAUCUCCCAACGGUGCACGAGGCUGCUCUGCCAGAUCCUGACUUCACUCUGUUUGUGGAUGGUUC